UCUCUUGAUCUCUCCACUCUCUUCACCAAAGAAACUCUCUCUCUUCACAUCAAUUUACUUACAAAUUUCAAGGUUUACAUAAAUGAUGCAAAUGUCCAAAGUUGUAAAAAAAUCGAUGUUAAAGACCAACAAGUUUAUAGCCCCUUUUAGAAUGACACAUGAUAAUCCAAGUUUUGAACCUCCAAAGGCAACAAAUGUUAAGAUACAUGGUGAUCUAAAGGAAAACAAUAAAAUAACCAUUACCACAGACGUUAACGGAGGGGUUGAAGUUGUUAGUGUAGUUCAGUGGUAUAAAACUACGACUAUUGAAUUAGAUAUUCAAAAUGGUCUUGAAGAAAUUAGCAUGUGUACUACUGAAA